GGUGGCUUAGUGGUUAGAGCGUCCGCCUCGGAUGCGAGAGGUCGUGCGUUCAGUCACCGGUCGAGUCAUACCAAAGACU